AGUGAACGCUGGCGGUAGGCCUAACACAUGCAAGUCGAACGGCAGCACAGUAAGAGCUUGCUCUUACGGGUGGCGAGUGGCGGACGGGUGAGGAAUACAUCGGAAUCUACUUUUUCGUGGGGGAUAACGUAGGGAAACUUACGCUAAUACCGCAUACGACCUACGGGUGAAAGCAGGGGAUCUUCUGACCUUGCGCGAUUGAAUGAGCCGAUGUCGGAUUAGCUAGUUGGCGGGGUAAAGGCCCACCAAGGCGACGAUCCGUAGCUGGUCUGAGAGGAUGAUCAGCCACACUGGAACUGAGACACGGUCAAGACUCCUACGGGAGGCAGCAGUGGGGAAUAUUGGACAAUGGGCGCAAGCCUGAUCCAGCCAUACCGCGUGGGUGAAGAAGGCCUUCGGGUUGUAAAGCCCUUUUGUUGGGAAAGAAAAGCAGCAGGUUAAUACCCCGCUGUUCUGACGGUACCCAAAGAAUAAGCACCGGCUAACUUCGUG
rnacentral:rRNA from 1 species